UUCAUAGAGUGUAAAGGCAUAAGGGAGCUUGACUGCGAGACCUACAAGUCGAGCAGGGUCGAAAGACGGACUUAGUGAUCCGGUGGUUCCGCAUGGAAGGGCCAUCGCUCAACGGAUAAAAGCUACCCCGGGGAUAACAGGCUUAUCUCCCCCAAGAGUUCACAUCGACGGGGAGGUUUGGCACCUCGAUGUCGGCUCAUCGCAUCCUGGGGCUGUAGUCGGUCCCAAGGGUUGGGCUGUUCGCCCAUUAAAGCGGUACGCGAGCUGGGUUCAGAACGUCGUGAGACAGUUCGGUCCCUAUCCGUCGUGGGCGUAGGAAAUUUGAGAGGAGCUGUCCUUAGUACGAGAGGACCGGGAUGGACAUACCUCUGGUGUACCAGUUGUCGUGCCAACGGCAUAGCUGGGUAGCUAUGUGUGGACGGGAUAAGUGC
rnacentral:rRNA from 1 species